CUCGGCCUGGGCCGCGCGGAGCUUCCUCGUGAAGACUGUGCUCGUUGAGAAGUUCGUGGACGGCCUUUCUGAACGCGGCAUUCGUCACCAGGAACAGAACCCCCGCCGCCGUACUGGGUGACAGGCGGGUCCCACGCACGAGGUCCUCCUCCAGAUGCAGUAUCUGGACAUGGCGGCCGAGAACCCCUCAGGCUCCACCCCCAGGGGCACGUCUGGAAGGGUCUGGAGGAAAACUCCCGAGGGCAUGCUACUCGUGAUCCCCAUCUGCAGUCUGCGUCACCAUCCACGCCCUGGCCGGAGCCCCCGAGGAGUUCUGUCCUGACAGAUGGCUGCAGCAGCACCAGAUACCACAUCUGCUAACAAGGCAAUGAGAAGAAGUGUGAGAAGUCAUGUGAGCCACGAUUCCCCCCUCCCCCCCCUUUUUUUUUUCCAAAAAGCAAAAGGCUUUUCAGAGCCA